UACGUAGGGGGCAAGCGUUGUCCGGAAUCAUUGGGCGUAAAGAGCGCGUAGGCGGCCCUGUAAGUCCGCUGUGAAAGUCCAGGGCUCAACCCUGGAAAGCCGGUGGAUACUGUCGGGCUAGAGUCCGGAAGAGGCGAGUGGAAUUCCUGGUGUAGCGGUGGAAUGCGCAGAUAUCAGGAGGAACACCGAUGGCGAAGGCAGCUCGCUGGGACGGUACUGACGCUGAGGCGCGAAAGCGUGGGGAGCGAACAGG
rnacentral:rRNA from 1 species